AUGUUGAAAUCGGGCGAACGGGAAAAGAGUGAAGGGUCACAGCAUGGAGCAGGGGUAGUUCCUGAUGACAUCCUAUGUCCACGUGGUUCCGCCCUCAAAACACUAGGUACCCAGUGGGAUGUAUUCGGCAGAGGGACCAAGGUGACCGUCCUAGGUCAGCCCAAGGCCACUCCCACAGUCAGCCUCUUUGCACCCUCCUCUGAGGAGCUCAGCACCAACAAGGCCACACUGGUGUGUCUGAUGAGUGACUUCUACCCGGACUCCGUCUCCGUGGCCUGGAAGGCAGACGGCAGCCCCAUCACCCAGGGCGUGGAGACCACCAAGCCCUUGAAACAGAGCAACGGCAAGUAUGUGGCCGGCAGCUACCUGAGCCUGACAGGUGACCAGUGGAGAAGUCGCAGAAGGUACAGCUGCCAGGUCACGCACGAGGGCAAGACCGAGGAGAAGACGUGGCCCCUGCAGAAUGUGCUUAGGGUCCCGGCUCCCACCUCAGCCAUGGGGGUCUGGAGCUGAAGGAUCAUCAGGGAGGGGUCUCCCCUCCCACCCAGGUCAUCCCAGCCCUUCCCCCUGCACCCUGUAAACCCCCAAUAAAUACCCUCACUGCCAA